rnacentral:rRNA from 1 species
GAAUAUUGGACAAUGGGGGGAACCCUCAUCCAGCCAUGCCGCGUGUGUGAAGAAGGCCUUUUGGUUGUAAAGCACUUUAAGCGCGGAGGAGGAUACUUAGAUUAUUACUCUAGGCUAGUGGCCGUUACUCGCAGAAUAAGCACCGGCGAACUCUGUUCGAGCAGCCGCGGUAAUACAGAGGGUGCAAGCGUUAAUCGGAUUUACUGGGCGUAAAGCGCGCGUAGGUGGCCAAUUAAGUCAAAUGUGAAAUCCCCGAGCUUAACUUGGGAAUUGCAUUCGAUACUGGUUGGCUAGAGUAUGGGAGAGGCUGGUAGAAUUCCAGGUGUAGCGGUGAAAUGCGUAGAGAUCUGGAGGAAUACCGAUGGCGAAGGCAGCCAUCUGGUCUAAUACUGACACUGAGGUGCGAAAGCAUGGGGAGCAAACA